GAUGUUUUCAAGAAACCUUUUAAGCCUUUGCAAGGCUCAUCAAAACAAACAUGAUCAAAGUCCUAAAAGCAUACCAUAUAAAAUAUGGAAGCAAAUCAGAAAAGUAGCAUACUACAUAAAAUAUCAAGUUCAUUUCAGAUCAGGUUCAUAAACCAGGUUCCCUAAACAUAGUUUUGUUUUCUUUUAUCAUCAAGUUGCCCUAGUACAGAUGAUGGUUUCAAUUAGAUAUGCCAACAGUAUUCUAAAAGGCCAAAGAAAUAAGUAGCAUGAUAUAUUAAGUUCUAAAAUUUGAUUUCACUCAUAUUUUCCUCCCUUCCCCUUUCUGUAUUUUUCUAAUUUCCAAGAAUGUGUAUAAGAAGAAAAAAAAACCCACAAUAAUGAGCUGAUGGAGGCUCACGCAUACUUUAGAAACCUGGCAUUUCUACCUGGAGGUCACAGUUUUUUUAUUCAAAGUAACUUGAAAGGUUUAGACAUACUUGCAACAUCUGCAAGUACAAUGAGAAGGAAUCAAAUGUUCUUGUGUUCUUUUAUUGACUAGGAACUUAAACUGUGGACAUAAUUUUUUUUGGAAGUACGACGAGGAUUGUAGCUCACCCUCAGGACAGAUUUUCACAGUAUCUCUUCGAGAAAGGGGAAAUGUUCAGCUGAAGAUGACACAGCUACAACAGCCCCUUGAUUAAAGCUUUCAGUCAGACUGGGGUUAAUCACUCUAAGAUCAGCCUGUUUUGAGAGAAAUCUCCAAGUAUCUCAAUCCCAUCUGCUUCCCUUAUGUGAGGCUCCAGAUUCUGGAAGUGUUGGGUUUUGCAGCCAUGAAACAGAAACAGCCGAAGUGUGGGAAGGUAGUCAGUCAUGACUCGCUGUGCUAGGACACAGGCUCACCCUGGGCACUUGCCCAAGAUAAUAAGAGGACUCCACUGCUUACCUGUUUUCUUGCCUCUAUCUCUACCUAACAUGGAAACACUACAAAUCUCUGCUUUCUGCCCCUUAGGACUUUCAAAAUGGUGGGCUGCAUUUUAAAGCAAAUCUCUUCCAAACAAAGACAGAACUUUCAAUACAUGACUGUCUUAUCGCAUAAACCUAAAGGGAUUAUUGAGACCUGUCAGUUUCCUUCUUUUUUUCUACAGUGAGGCUCCUCCCAGGAUGCAGACUGGCAGCCUGCAUUUACCAAGGGUGCAUUUACCAAGAACAGAAGGAAGGACGGAGCAGAAGGCAGCCUAAGAUGUUCCCGUGUGUUUGGCUAGAAGGUGCUUCAGCACAGGAAUCCAGAGGCAGGGAUGCCCAAGAUUUGAAGUAUGUUCUGAAGACAAAGGAAGGUUUGUGGAUUUCUCCUAUAAGAGACUAUUCCAGGCUCAGGCAAGGAUGAGGAAACUGGCAGCUCUGGGAUAGGAACUCUCUGGUUAACCACUUGCACUACUGUCUGCUGCCCUCUGAGGAAAGAGUCCUUGCUUACCUUCCCCUUAAAGUAAAGGCAAUUCUCUAAAAAGAGCCAUUCUGAUCAUGUCAUUUUUCUAGUUAUACACAGUGCCUCCCCAUUCUUCUAGGAACAAAUCCAAACUCCUUACCACUGCUUCAAAGUCUCUUCAGAACAUCACCUCUGCCUGCCUCUCCAGCCUCAGUGGCUCCCUUCUUCCUUUUUAGCUUCUCAAAUAUGCCAAACGCUUUUGUUUUGGAGGUUUUGCCCCAUCUGUUCCCUCUGCCUAAAACGUGUGUUCCCCUCCCUUUUCCUGACUUCCCCAACCUUCAAGCCACACCAAAAUGUACCUUCCUCAGACAGUUCUUCCCAAGCCCUCUAAUACACACUUCUGAAGCUGCAAUGUCCAGUGCAGUGGCCGCCAGCCAGAUGUGACCACUGAGCCCUUGAAACACAGUGAGUCUGAAGUGAGAUGUAAGCAUGCAAACACAUGCCCAAGUAUGAAGAUGGAGAACAAGAAGCAGCAUGCAAAAUAUGUCAGUAACAUGUUUUAUUAAUAUAUUGGUUAUAUGUUGAAAUGAGAACAUUUUGGAUGUGUUAGGUUAAAUAAAAAUACGUUAUUAAAAUUAAUUUCACCUCUGUUUACUCUUUAAAAAUGUAGCAACUAGAAAAUUUUAAAUUACACAUGUAUCUUGCAUCCUAUUUUUGCUGGACCAUGC
rnacentral:lncRNA from 1 species